GCCCCUUCUCUCUGUAGCAAAACUCCCCACUGAGUACUGGCGGAAAUGCCCUCCGUCUGGCUGCUGCCCCUGUAGUUCUGUGCAUCCCUUCUGCGAGCGUUUGCUACCUUACACAGCUUCCCCGCGGCCGAUGACUCCCCCACCCGCCAGUCUCAUCCUUCAAGUUAUUAUCAUUCAACGGUACACAAAAAGUUUACCAUCAAACAAAACAACGUUCCUCCGGACCAAGGUGCACAACACAGUACAUAUAACUCACACACACACACAACACAUAAAGUUUACCAUCAAACGAAACAACGUUCCUCCGGACCAAGGUGCACAACACAGUACAUAUAACUCACACACACACACAACACAUAAAGUUUACCAUCAAACGAAACAACGUUCCUCCGGACCAAGGUGCACAACACAGUACAUAUAACUCUCACACACACACAACACAUAAAGUUUACCAUCAAACAAAACAACGUUCCUCCGGACCAAGGUGCACAACACAGUACAUAUAACUCACACACACACACAACACAUAAAGUUUACCAUCAAACGAAACAACGUUCCUCCGGACCAAGGUGCACAACACAGUACAUAUAACUCACACACACACACAACACAUAAAGUUUACCAUCAAACGAAACAACGUUCCUCCGGACCAAGGUGCACAACACAGUACAUAUAACUCACACACACACACAACACAUAAAGUUUACCAUCAAACAAAACAACGUUCCUCCGGACCAAGGUGCACAACACAGUACAUAUAACUCACACACACACACAACACAUAAAGUUUACCAUCAAACGAAACAACGUUCCUCCGGACCAAGGUGCACAACACAGUACAUAUAACUCACACACACACACAACACAUAAAGUUUACCAUCAAACGAAACAACGUUCCUCCGGACCAAGGUGCACAACACAGUACAUAUAACUCACACACACACACAACACAUAAAGUUUACCAUCAAACGAAACAACGUUCCUCCGGACCAAGGUGCACAACACAGUACAUAUAACUCUCACACACACACAACACAUAAAGUUUACCAUCAAACAAAACAACGUUCCUCCGGACCAAGGUGCACAACACAGUA